GCCUCUGUAGCUCAGUGGCAAAGGAAUGGUCUUCUAGACCAGAGGUCGCGAGUUCAAUCCUCACAGGAGGCA